AUAGUACUCCCUCCGUCCAGAAUUACUUGUCGCAAGAAUGGAUGUAUCUAGAUGUAUUUUGGUUCUAGAUACAUUCAUUUCUAUCCAUUCUUGCCACAAGUAAUUCAGGACGAAGGGAGUAGUAG
rfam:Hordeum vulgare subsp. vulgare, WGS project CAJW01000000 data, contig: morex_contig_321959